rnacentral:rRNA from 1 species
GGGGGCACCCUGAUCNAGCCAUGCCGCGUGGGUGAAGAAGGCCUUCGGGUUGUAAAGCCCUUUUGUACGGGAAGAAAAGCUUGGGGUUAAUAACCCUGAGUCAUGACGGUACCGUAAGAAUAAGCACCGGCUAACUUCGUGCCAGCAGCCGCGGUAAUACGAAGGGUGCAAGCGUUACUCGGAAUUACUGGGCGUAAAGCGUGCGUAGGUGGUGAGUUAAGUCUGAUGUGAAAUCCCCGGGCUCAACCUGGGAAUGGCAUUGGAUACUGGCUCGCUAGAGUGCGGUAGAGGGUGGUGGAAUUCCCGGUGUAGCAGUGAAAUGCGUAGAGAUCGGGAGGAACAUCUGUGGCGAAGGCGGCCACCUGGACCAACACUGACACUGAGGCACGAAAGCGUGGGGAGCAAACAGGAUUAGAUACCCUGGUAGUCCACGCCCUAAACGAUGCGAACUGGAUGUUGGGUGCAACUUGGCACUCAGUAUCGAAGCUAACGCGUUAAGUUCGCCGCCUGGGGAGUACGGUCGCAAGACUGAAACUCAAAAAAAUUGACGGA